rnacentral:tRNA from 1 species
UCCCAGGUGGUCUAGUGGUUAGGAUUCGUGGCUCUCACCCACGCGGCCCGGGUCCGAUUUCCGGUCUGGGAA